rnacentral:rRNA from 1 species
GAUGAACGCUAGCGGAAGGCUUAAUACAUGCAAGUCGAGCGGUAGGUGGCUUCGGCCAUUGAGAGCGGCGCACGGGUGAGUAACGCGUACAUGACCUGCCUGUCAGAAGGGGAUAGCCCUGGGAAACUGGGAUUUAAUACCCCUAUGGUAUUGAUAUUAUGAAUGAUAUCAAUUAAAGUUGAGGCGCUGACAGAUGGAUGUGCGUCUGAUUAGCUAGUUGGUAGGGUAACGGCCUACCAAGGCGACGAUCAGUAGGGGGCGUGAGAGCGUGGUCCCCCCACACGGGGUACUGAGACACGGACCCGACUCCUACGGGAGGCAGCAGUAAGGAAUAUUGGUCAAUGCCCGCAAGGGUGAACCAGCCAUUCCGCGUGGAGAUGAAGGCCCUAUGGGUUGUAAACUUCUUUUAGAUGGGAAGAAAAUGCUAGAUGUAUCUGGUACU